AAGGCUGUAAUGAGGCAAAAACAAGUCUUCGCUACCAGAUGAUAUGGCAUACAGAGCAUUUACAUACUCACAUCUGAAAUACUAGGCAACGUGUAAUGAAUUCUAGACACAGCAUGCAUACACAGCACAAGCACGGCUAAUCCUGCCUGCCAUCUUAGGCUCGCAGAAGCAAGAUACGCACUGCAUGCAGCACACGAGCACUGGGGAAGGAGGAGGCAAGGGACAGCUCACCUUAAAUGCAGUAUCUGAUUAAUGUUGUAAGUGACAUUGCAUAUCAGCCUCAGAGUCUUGGUUCAACUGGGUAGGAGGGAACAAAGAAAAAUGUCAUCAACUGGUGAUGCAAGAUGAGCCCAAUCACUAAACACUGUUUAGCAAACUCCAAAUUCUGCAACCAGACAGAAGGCAUUUCAUACACUUAAGCAGAGCUGCUCCACAAUGAAUGUGUCCUUCUGCUUCUGAGAAUCAAACAGUCCUUUUGCUAAGGAAGAAAAUAAGCUGGAAAGAACACUCUCAUAUUCUCUUCUUGAAGAAAGCUUUCAAUACAGUGACCAAACCGGCUGAGAGAGAUCCAGUAAUUUACCCAAGAUCACACACUUCAUAAGUCCCUUCCAGUUCUGAAAGUUUGUGAUUCUAAAAAAUCUAGCCCAGCUUGUUUUCUAGGUCAUGAAGACCAACAGCUGGACUCUAAGACUCCUGCCUUCUGAUGUAUGUGGCCAGCUGACUAUACUGCUUCAUUGGCAGUAACUGUAUAUGUCAACGAGAUGCCUCUCAAAGGGGGCUUUCUAAUCCACCAGUUCCACCCCACCUGGGAAUAGGAGAGGAAGACUAUCUUUUGCUCAGUGCUCAUGGGCAGUAGAAUGAAGAGUUGGGUGAAUGACAUGCUUGAGGAGUCUGAACUCCAAGAAACCUUCUCCAGUUCUUAGAGACGAGCUUCCUCACGUCCAGCCAUUAGCAUCUGUGUAGGAUGUGAGAAACAAGUACACACUGUUGGCAAGCACUGGACAGCAAGCCUUGUGGACCAAACUGGGGUUACCUUCCAGGAAAGAGCUGGAAGGAAAAGGGAACUGUAAGCCAUGUUUUUUUUUUUUUUUUUUUAACAAAGGAAAAGUGGCAAAUUACAUAGGCUGCAAGGGAGACUGUGGUGGACAAUAUCUCAACCCAUCUUAACCCAACUCAGAUCCUCCUGUGGGAGCAUCCUCAACUGGUGUCACCAUUAUGGAAAUCACUAACUCAGCUUUAGCAACAGAAUAGUUGCUACUUUCAUUUCUCGGUGCAUUUGAAACAUGGCACAAAUAAUGACCUUAAGUGCCUAUGGAGAGCAAGAGCAUUCCUACACCCCAAUCACAUGUUCAUUUUCUGCCAUGACUGCUUGUCAUGCAUGCACUGAUGGAGAGUAAGUAAAACAACAGGGCCUUGUAGCUUCUGAAUCGGCAAAACACAUUCAGCAGGGAAGUAGAGUUUCAUCUUUUUUGGAGAGACUGGCAACUAGGCUGAAAAGAGAAGGUGGGGAUAGAAAUGAAGGUAGAAAAGUAUGAAUUCUUAUAGAACCAUAAAAAUCCACCUCAUGUGAGAACAUAAUCUUCUCUUUGUAUCUUUCUUCACCCUGGGAAAUAGUUCAAGACUUAAACCUGGGAAUAAACUUACUUGCUUUCUCUUCUCUCAGAUACGUGACUUUGCAGCUCAGAAAGGGCCACAACAAUACACUGUUUCUCAGUCAGAGCAGUUUAACAAGCAUCAGUGAGUCUUUAACUCCUUUGGCCUAAAGAUAAAAGCACAGUACAUUUUUGUUGUAUUGAAUUAUCUACCUAGGCCCAUGCCUCUGGCGUGAUUCCUGGAAGCUCUUUGUAUCUUCCAGGGUGCCUAGAGCAUUGCCUAAUACAAUGGAGGGGCUUGCUGAGGAUGUUUUGGACUCACCAGCACCAAUCUCCGGAGUCCUUUCUCUACCACUACCAGUGGGAUCUUCAGCUUUGUAUCAUGAAGCCCCUUCCUAAAGUUAAAGUACUUGCUUCGGUAGUUAAGCAAUGGGUUGGGGGGCGGGGGCUGAAAAUCCCUAUGAAAAUCUUUCAAGACCUUAAUCACUUGUUUAUCAAGGGGAGCUACAAGUUGUCUGGCAAGCAGACCACAGUGCUUUGUGUAAACCUGUUCCUCCUAGAACAGGGAAAGAGGAGACAGAAAUAAGAGUGGCUGGACAACCCUGCCACAGCCUCCAAAGAAUACCUCAACAUUUCCUCAGGUCCACAGUGGCAGAGUGUGUUUCACAGAAUUGAAGGAGAAGGAAGAUGCUUUAGAAAAUGCCAUCUAAACCAUUUCUUUGAGGGAGAAGAAAAUUAGGUUCAAAUGAGUAAAGCAUCCGGUUUAAAUAAAGGACUCAGCAGUGAGCACGGAAGCCGUGUUCCUUAGAUCUAGCAUUCUGCUCUUUGUAGUUCAACACACUGUCUCAAUUAAAAAAAAAAUUCUAAGCUGUCAAACAGAUACUUAAAAAUAGUUAUGGAUUAAUUGAAUUGAUGACUACAUGGCAGUAUGGAGGGUUUAUAACAUGUUUUCCAAUUCCUCUCAGAUGAAAAUAUUACACUACACUUGUUUAACUGAAAACAAAACUCAACUAAAUAUAAUUUUAAGCAAAAUAGCAAAUGUUGGCCAAAAUAUCACCUGGAACUUCUCAAGUGUCACUUGAGACUUGUCAUAGAACCAGACUUGAUUGCUAUAUUAAGUCAAUUGACUAAGUUUAGCCUGCUGAAGUAGCCUUUAUCCUCUUUGGUUUGCAAACCAAAAUCUCAUGAUUUAGUAUGAACAACUAAAAAUAAGUUGCAGGUUUCAUUUUCCGUUGUUCAGUACGGUUUUGAAACUAAAAGGUGCAAAACUACGAGAUUCACCAACGACUACGGAAAGUCAACGAUUAAAAUUGUCCCCUUUCUAGCACAUGAUCCUGCUUGCCUAUUCACAGCCAGGCCCGAGAAAUGUGCGUUGCUGUCCCUCUCAUCAUGGUCUCUUGAGAUGAGUCCUUCUAAUAACUAAGGCACUGGGGGCUGAGGCCAGUCCUGGGGUAGCAGUGGCUUGUGAGCGUAUUGUCACAUCCGGACAGGAUGCAGCAUAGGCUUCAGCAGCAUAGGCUUCAGCCCAUAUGCUCAGCCUCGAUCUUAGGUAAUGCUGGGGACUCCUCUGCAGAAUCUGGGGAUAAAUACAGCUCGAAUUUCAUUAAGAUAGGGCCCCGAAGUUGAUGAGUGCAACGAGUCCCCCUGGACCUAAAUGUCCAUGGCCUUGUGCAAUUCCAUAGCGCUAACCUAGGCGGCUCACAAUAAAUUUAAUUUCAAAAUUGUCUUUCCAGGGCCAAGUCUGGCAAAAAGGUGUUUGACAGAAGCAUAAAUGCUUCAAAGAGAAGGCAGCCAUCUCACUCUGUAGCAUUCAGCCGUGGCACAAGGCCCAGAGACAGCAGCGCUGUUAAAUGAAAGCCCUCGGCUGAAUGAGAUUGAAAGGGGGCAAAGACGGGUUAAUCUCCUUCCAUUAAAGGAGGGGCCAUUUGGCGAAGGUGAAGAGUAUAAUCUGUAUGAAGAGCAGAGCAGACAUUCCAGAAAAGAAAUUACUGCGCAGGGGUGAGGAUGAUUUGUCCUCGAUUUUCACUGUGAGACCAUUUCUUAGAUCUGAAUCUAUCUAGCUUUGAAGUUAUGGUCUCAGGAAGGGGCAAAUGGGCCACAUUCACAUUCAGUGCUGGCAUACUGGAGCUCUGAUUCCACCCGAGAUGGGCUGCCUGUCUCUGAGAAGCAGAGGGUGUGGCCAAAGCCAGCAGGACAUUGUAGACUCCAAACUGCAAGUCAGAAGGCGGCAAAAUAAACAGUAGGAGUUGCUCAUAAAGGAGAAGCCAGGGGAUAAAUCCCCUUCCUUGGGGUGGGAAAAAUCCCUGUUUUAAACAUAGUUUUAAAAACUUUUUAAAAGUUUUAAUACCUUUUUUUGUGUGUGAACGAUCACAAGAUGUGCAAGAAGUUACAGUGUCUCCUUUCUCUACCUUCUCCCAGUGAUGGCUUAACAUAGUUGCAGUACUUGAUCUAAACCAAGAAACAGACGCUGGUAUAGUUCAAAUAAACGCUGAUACACUCUUAUGUGAUUUUGCCAUAAGAGUUUUCACAUGCACUCUGUGUGUGUGUGUGCCUGUAUGCCUGCAGUUCUAUGCAAUGUUGUCACAAGUACAGGCUGGAGUAAUGACUAUCACCAUCAGGAUAGAGAACAGUCACUCCCACAGUUUUCUGUGCUCCUCCUCUAAUAAUCAUGCCUGUCCUCCAACCCUAACUCCUGGAAACCACUGAUCUGUUCUCUAUCACUGUCAUUUUUUUUUUCUUUUUGAGAUAGGGUCUCACUGUCACCCAGGCUGGAGUGCAAUGGCACAGUCAUGAUUCACAGCAGCCUCAAACUCCUGGGCUCAAGUGAUCCUCUCAUCUCGGCCUCUCAAGUAGCUGAGACCACAGGUGUGCACCGCCAUGCCCAGCUAAUUUUUUAAAUAUUUGUAGAGAUGGGGUCUCCUUGUGUUGCCCUGGCUAGUCUUGAACUCUUGGGCACUCCUGCCUCGGCCUCCCAAAGUGCUGGGAUUACAAGCGUGAGCCACUGUGCCUGGCCUACCACUGUAAUUUUGUCGGUCCGAGAAUAUUCACUAAGUGGAAUCAUGUAGCAUAUAACUCUUUGAGAAUGGCUUUCGGCAUAACACCCUUAUGAUCCAGUUGAAUUGAAUGUAAAGGGCAAAUGCGUUUUUAUUGCUGAAUAGUAUUUCAAGGUGUGGAUGUACCAGUGUGUUACCCACUGACUUGCUAAAAAAUUUGGCUAUUUUCCAGUUUUUACAUAUUACAAAUAAAGCUGCUACAAAUGUUCAUGUAAAGUUUA